rnacentral:rRNA from 1 species
CCUACGGGAGGCAGCAGUGGGGAAUAUUGCACAAUGGGGGAAACCCUGAUGCAGCGACGCCGCGUGAGUGAAGAAGUAUUUCGGUACGUAAAGCUCUAUCAGCAGGGAAGAAAAUGACGGUACCUGACUAAGAAGCCCCGGCUAACUACGUGCCAGCAGCCGCGGUAAUACGUAGGGGGCAAGCGUUAUCCGGAUUUACUGGGUGUAAAGGGAGUGUAGACGGCAGCGCAAGUCUGGAGUGAAAUCCCAUGGCUUAACCAUGGAACUGCUUUGGAAACUGUGCAGCUAGAGUGCAGGAGAGGUAAGCGGAAUUCCUAGUGUAGCGGUGAAAUGCGUAGAUAUUAGGAGGAACACCAGUGGCGAAGGCGGCUUACUGGACUGUAACUGACGUUGAGGCUCGAAAGCGUGGGGAGCAAACAGGAUUAGAUACCCGGGUAGUC